rnacentral:rRNA from 1 species
CUACGGGUGGCACCAGCGAGGAAUUUUGCGCAAUGGGGGAAACCCUGACGCAGCAACGCCGCGUGAGCGAAGAAGGCCUUCGGGUCGUAAAGCUCUGUCAAGUGGGAAAAAAAUUCUUUGAUGAACAGUCAAAGGACUUGAUGGUACCACUGGAGGAAGCACCGGCUAACUCCGUGCCAGCAGCCGCGGUAAUACGGAGGGUGCAAGCGUUGUUCGGAAUUACUGGGCGUAAAGAGCGUGUAGGCGGUUUGACAAGUCAGAUGUGAAAGCCCCGGGCUCAACCCGGGAAGUGCAUUUGAAACUGUUUCACUAGAGUAUGGGAGAGGAGAUUGGAAUUCCUGGUGUAGAGGUGAAAUUCGUAGAUAUCAGGAGGAACACCCGUGGCGAAGGCGAUUCUCUGGACCAAUACUGACGCUGAGACGCGAAAGCGUGGGGAGCAAACAGGAUUAGAUACCCGCGUAGUC